ACUCAAAGGAAUUGACGGGGGCCCGCACAAGCGGAGGAGCAUGUGGCUUAAUUCGAUGCAACGCGAAGAACCUUACCAGGGCUUGACAUGCAGCUGCAUUUCCCGUGAAAGCGGGGAAGCCUUCGAGGGUGCUGCACAGGUGCUGCAUGGCUGUCGUCAGUUCGUGCCGUGAGGUGUUGGGUUAAGUCCCGCAACGAACGCAACCCCUGUGUUUAGUUGCCAUCAGGUAAUGCUGGGCACUCUAGACAGACUGCCUGUAUAAGCAGGAGGAAGGUGGGGAUGACGUCAAGUCAGUAUGGCCCUUACGUCCUGGGCUGCACACGUGCUACAAUGGCCGGUACAAUGGGAAGCGAGACCGCGAGGUGGAGCAAAUCCCCAAAAACCUGCCACAGUUCGGAUUGAAGUCUGAAACUCGACUUCAUGAAGUUGGAUUCGCUAGUAAUGGCGCAUCAGCUACGGCGCCGUGAAUACGUUCCCGGGCCUUGUACACACCGCCCGU
rnacentral:rRNA from 1 species